GACAGUGGUAGCUCAGUGGUUAAGCUGUUGGCCAACUGAUUGGAAGAUUGUGAGUUCAAAUCUCAUCACUGCCA